AAUGAAGAACGUAGCGAAAUGCGAUAAGUAAUGUGAAUUGCAGAAUUCAGUGAAUCAUCGAAUCUUUGAACGCACCUUGCGCUCCUUGGUAUUCCGAGGAGCAUGCCUGUUUGAGUGUCAUUAAUAUAUCAACCUUCUCUUUUUUGAGUUGUUUGGAUGUGGGGGUUUGCUGGCCUCUUAAAUGAUUCAGCUCCCCUGAAAUGCAUUAGCAGAACAACCUGUUCAUUAGCGUGAUAAUUAUCUAUGCUAUUGAAUGUGAGGGCAGUUCAGCUUUCUAACCGUCCUUGGACAAUUCAUCAUUAAUGUGACCUCAAAUCAGGUAGGACUACCCGCUGAACUUAAGCAUAUCAAUAAGCGGAGGA
rnacentral:misc_RNA from 1 species